AGGCUCGUAGCUCAGUGGGAGAGCGCCUCUCUGACGCAGAGGAGGUCGGCGGUUCGAGACCGCCCGAGCCUACCA
rnacentral:tRNA from 4 species